CUGUUCAGGCUUCAGACGUGUGUUAAUUUACCCUUCCAUAUUUAAUACUUCAACAACAUUUUGUUCUGUAAUGUCUGUGGAUAAAGUAGGAGGAACAACGCGGUGAUGUGGUGACGAGCACACAAACUAAACAGAUCAUGUCUGUGACACGGACACUUGGUGAAUUUUCUACUUUGACUGGAAGAUCAUCUUCUCGUUUUCAUGAACAGAAUUGUGACCAGCAUGUUUGUCAUUUGCACGAAAAACACAAAAUUUGAACAAAAAGUCAGUUUUUCUUCUUGAAUGCCAUAGAGUUUCCAGAGAUGCCACUGUCUGAACUAUGAUGGACACGCAUGUUCAUUUGUCUUCUGCCUUGCUUACAAGUUCACACAAAUUGCUAAAAAAUCUUAAUUUUUAGAUACUUUUGACCAAAAGACCUGAAUGUCUUUGUGGCCGUUCAGAAACUGUUUGAUUCUCCAAACAUCCCCUCCUGAUUUCUGUUAAUGGAUGACUGUUGUCCUUGGAAGGAGACCUGAAUAUAGUUAGUACUGUUUGAAAACAGGAUUGUCUGAUUAUCUCAGAUUUUCUCUGUUUGUGGUGGAAAAUCUUCAUUUAAAGUAACAAUAUGUAUUUUCUUAGUAUCAGCAACUAGGCAUCAACUCCCCCCAGCUCUCCUGAUCAGCACAGAGCUUCUGCAUUUAAAUCCGUCUUAGGGGGAAGCCGGGGGGAUGGAGUCCUACUAAUGACCUGACGUUGCCCCCUUACUGUGUUCACUCCAGAACAACCCAAGCUCAUCCUUUCCCCACCAGGCUGCUAAUGCAAUCACAGCCUUGCAUCUGCAGGAGGUUCCCUCUGUCUCCACCUGAGUAGUCGCCGUGAUGGUGGAAAGGUGUGUGCCGCUGUGUGCGAGACAAAAGGCAGCUUGGAGCGCUAAGAUUUAGGGUUAAUCAAUCAUUGUGCCACUUUAAUGACACCCUGCUGCUUCCCUAAUGUCUUCUGGCAGAGGCAGCCUGCAGCAGGCACAGAGCUCAUGCAGGCACACAUAUGGCUGCCUCUGCUGAAUGACAGGACCCCUUCAGUGUGUGCUGCACCGCACGCCCAACGCCAUCAGCCACAUGCAGCUGCCUCUGGCUAUGAGCUGAGACGGUGCUGGACAGGAAAACACCACCACAAAAUACCGGGAGAAGGAAAAGAGGCAAAUGUUUCUGUGGAGUGGACUUAAAACGGAGAAAACCAUCAAAUGUGAACAUUCUUUGUUCAACAAAAUAUUCGUAAUUUUGAAUCACUCCCAGAAGAUGAGGACAUUUAUAAACUUCUUUUGAGCCCACCUGACUCUAAAAACCUAAUUUCUAGGAAUGUAAACAAUUUUUCUGAAAAACUGGGGUGUAAUGCAUUGUUCUUGAAAAAUGCUUGGGAGGAAGAACUGGGACUACAGAUUGGGGACAACCAUUGGGAGAAGAGCCUGCAAAAUAUCCACUCUUGUUCCAUAAAUACAAGACUUCAAUUAAUUCAAUUUAAAGUGUUGCACAGGCUCCAUUACUCAAAGGUUAAAUUACACAAAUGCUUUCCUACCAUUUCCCCCAUAUGCGACCGCUGCAAAUCUGCAGAGGACUCUUUGACCCACAUGUUCUGGACCUGUCCUAAACUGCACCACUUUUGGCAGGAGAUGUUUCACUGGUUCUCAGAUUUAUAUAGUUACCAUGGCGCCGCGUGUGUGGCAGCUUAUCUGGGCAGCUCUACCUUUUUGUGUUCCUUACUUUGCGUUUUUUAAUAUUUUCUUCCACCUUAUUUGUGUUUUUUGUAUUUUUCAACAACUAUUACGAAGUUCAACGACAAAGGACAGGAACAUCAUUACUUUUGCUUUUUGUUUUUUUAUUUUUUCUCAACUUUUUGAACCGGCCUCGGGGGAUCCGUUAGGAUGCAGCUCCAUUGUUUACACUCGAGAUCAGCUGUUAGCUCUUGGACGAGUUGAGAUUCUCCUCGCUGCAAAGCCAGAUGUUCCAGCUGAAAUACGGAGGAAACGACGAGGCUGCAGAGCUGGAGUUAAACGCCGGGAGAGAAGACGGAGCGGGUGUACCGUGAGAGCAGCCUGCUGUGUUUCACCGAGACGUGGCUCAACCAGGACAUGACAAACUCCGUGGUCUCAGUUACUGGAUUCACGUUGGUGCGGGCGGACCGGAGCGCGGCGCAGAGCGGAAAGAAGAAAGGCGGUGGUCUGGCUGUGUUCGUGAAUGACAGAUGGUGUAACCCGAACCACAUCACUGUGAAAGAACAGCACUGCAGCAAGGACAUUGAACUGGUGGCAGUCAGCGUUCGGCCGUACUACCUUCCAUGGGAGUUCUCCAUGUGCUGGUGGUGACUGUUAACGUCCCUCCGUCAGCUGACGCUGCUGUCGCUUGUGAGCGCGUGCACAGCACCGUAUCCCAGCUGCAGACACAACACCCGCAGGCCCUGAUCCUGAUUUCUGGGGACUUUAACCAUGCAUGCACCCCCCUCUCCGCCACCCUGUCCAACUUCACCCAGUAUGUGAACUGUCAUACGAGGGACAGAAAACUCUGGACCUUUUCUAUGCUAACAUCAAGAAUGCAUAUGCUUCUGCCCCCCUCCCCCCUUUAGGAUGCUCUGAUCACAACCUGGUCCAUCUCUCCUCUGCGUACACUCCAGUGGUGAAACAGCAGAAACCACAGAUUAAAACGGUGAAGAUCUGGACUGAGGAGGUAACAGAGCGACUAAGGGACUGUUUUAGCACCACAGACUGGGACGUUCUCUGCAGUCCACACCGGGGGGGGGCAUUGACAGUCUCACUGACUGCAUCACGGACUAUGUCAAUUUUUGUGUGGAAAACACAGUGCAAACAAAA